rnacentral:rRNA from 1 species
AUGAACGCUAGCUACAGGCUUAACACAUGCAAGUCGAGGGGCAUCAGGAAGAAAGCUUGCUUUCUUUGCUGGCGACCGGCGCACGGGUGAGUAACACGUAUCCAACCUGCCCUUUACUCGGGGAUAGCCUUUCGAAAGAAAGAUUAAUACCCGAUGGCAUAAUGAUUCCGCAUGGUUUCAUUAUUAAAGGAUUCCGGUAAAGGAUGGGGAUGCGUUCCAUUAGGUUGUUGGUGAGGUAACGGCUCACCAAGCCUUCGAUGGAUAGGGGUUCUGAGAGGAAGGUCCCCCACAUUGGAACUGAGACACGGUCCAAACUCCUACGGGAGGCAGCAGUGAGGAAUAUUGGUCAAUGGGCGCUAGCCUGAACCAGCCAAGUAGCGUGAAGGAUGAAGGCUCUAUGGGUCGUAAACUUCUUUUAUAUAAGAAUAAAGUGCAGUAUGUAUACUGUUUUGUAUGUAUUAUAUGAAUAAGGAUCGGCUAACUCCGUGCCAGCAGCCGCGGUAAUACGGAGGAUCCGAGCGUUAUCCGGAUUUAUUGGGUUUAAAGGGAGCGUAGGUGGACUGGUAAGUCAGUUGUGAAAGUUUGCGGCUCAACCGUAAAAUUGCAGUUGAUACUGUCAGUCUUGAGUACAGUAGAGGUGGGCGGAAUUCGUGGUGUAGCGGUGAAAUGCUUAGAUAUCACGAAGAACUCCGAUUGCGAAGGCAGCUCACUGGACUGCAACUGACACUGAUGCUCGAAAGUGUGGGUAUCAAACAGGAUUAGAUACCCUGGUAGUCCACACAGUAAACGAUGAAUACUCGCUGUUUGCGAUAUACAGUAAGCGGCCAAGCGAAAGCAUUAAGUAUUCCACCUGGGGAGUACGCCGGCAACGGUGAAACUCAAAGGAAUUGACGGGGGCCCGCACAAGCGGAGGAACAUGUGGUUUAAUUCGAUGAUACGCGAGGAACCUUACCCGGGCUUAAAUUGCAGUGGAAUGAUGUGGAAACAUGUCAGUGAGCAAUCACCGCUGUGAAGGUGCUGCAUGGUUGUCGUCAGCUCGUGCCGUGAGGUGUCGGCUUAAGUGCCAUAACGAGCGCAACCCUUAUCUUUAGUUACUAACAGGUUAUGCUGAGGACUCUAGAGAGACUGCCGUCGUAAGAUGUGAGGAAGGUGGGGAUGACGUCAAAUCAGCACGGCCCUUACGUCCGGGGCUACACACGUGUUACAAUGGGGGGUACAGAAGGCAGCUAGCGGGUGACCGUAUGCUAAUCCCAAAAGCCUCUCUCAGUUCGGAUCGAAGUCUGCAACCCGACUUCGUGAAGCUGGAUUCGCUAGUAAUCGCGCAUCAGACACGGCGCGGUGAAUACGUUCCCGGGCCUUGUACACACCGCCCGUCAAGCCAUGGGAGCCGGGGGUACCUGAAGUACGUAACCGCAAGGAUCGUCCUAGGGUAAAACUGGUGACUGGGGC